GACGGGGGGGGCAAGUGUUCUUCGGAAUGACUGGGCGUAAAGGGCACGUAGGCGGUGAAUCGGGUUGAAAGUGAAAGUCGCCAAAAACUGGCGGAAUGCUCUCGAAACCAAUUCACUUGGGUGAGACAGAGGAGAGUGGAAUUUCGUGUGUAGGGGUGAAAUCCGCAAAUCUACGAAGGAAGGCCAAAAGCGAAGGCAGCUCUCUGGGUCCCUACCGAUGCUGGGGUGCGAAAGCAUGGGGAGCGAACAGG
rnacentral:rRNA from 1 species